rnacentral:rRNA from 1 species
AUGAACGCUGGCGGCGUGCCUAAUACAUGCCAGUCGAGCGAACAGACGAGGAGCUUGCUCCUCUGCCGUUAGCGGCGGCCGGGUGAUUACCACGUGGUUACCCUCCCUAUACGACUGGGAUAACUUCGGGAAACCGGAGCUAAUACCGGAUAAUAUAUUUAACCGCAUGGUUCAAUAGUGAAAGAUGGUUUUGCUGUCACUUAUACAUGGCUCAGCGCCGCAUUAGAUAGUUGGUACGGUAACGGCUUAUUAACGCGACGAUGCGUAGCCGACCUGAGCGGGUGAUCGGCCACAUUGGAGCUGAGACACGGUCCAGACGCCUACGGUAGGCAGCAGUAGGGAAUCUUCCGCAAUGGGCGAAAGCCUGACGAAGCAGCGCCGCGUGAGUGAUGAAGGUCUUCGGAUCGUAAAACUCUGUUAUGAGUGAAGAACAAAUGUGUAAGUAACUAUGCACGUCUUGACGGUACCGAAUCAGAAAGCCACGGCUAACUACGUG